CAGCCGGCCAAACUUCAUGCGUCAUUUCCGAUUCUUCAUUUCCUUUUCAGUCUGCUAUGUAAAAACCACAUAGUCAGCGCAUGCCCCAGUUCCAGUUGCCGGGCAACGAGUGGGAGGCAGGAAAUCCUGGAGCAAGCCAUCACCUGUUCCUUGUUAGGAAUCAGCACACCUGGUCCUGAUCAGCCUUACACCACCACUUAAGCUGAGACCUGACAGCCAGUCCCUCUCAGAUCAUUAGACCACACUCGAUCCACGCCCUGGACUUCCCUUCACUCCUGCCAGACUACCAGAACCGCCUACCCCCUCGUUGGAACACACUACCACUCCAUCAAGCCUCCCGUUCUCACUGUUCUGCACGCCUGCCAUAACCCACUUCAUCACCGGACUGUGC